GGGACACGUGGUAUCCUGUCUGAAUAUGGGGGGACCAUCCUCCAAGGCUAAAUACUCCUGACUGACCGAUAGUGAACCAGUACCGUGAGGGAAAGGCGAAAAGAACCCCGGCGAGGGGAGUGAAAAAGAACCUGAAACCGUGUACGUACAAGCAGUGGGAGCCUCUUAAUGGGGUGACUGCGUACCUUUUGUAUAAUGGGUCAGCGACUUAUAUUCUGUAGCAAGGUUAACCGAAUAGGGGAGCCGAAGGGAAACCGAGUCUUAACUGGGCGUUAAGUUGCAGGGUAUAGACCCGAAACCCGGUGAUCUAGCCAUGGGCAGGUUGAAGGUUGGGUAACACUAACUGGAGGACCGAACCGACUAAUGUUGAAAAAUUAGCGGAUGACUUGUGGCUGGGGGUGAAAGGCCAAUCAAACCGGGAGAUAGCUGGUUCUCCCCGAAAGCUAUUUAGGUAGCGCCUCGUGAAUUCAUCUCCGGGGGUAGAGCACUGUUUCGGCAAGGGGGUCAUCCCGACUUACCAACCCGAUGCAAACUGCGAAUACCGGAGAAUGUUAUCACGGGAGACACACGGCGGGUGCUAACGUCCGUCGUGAAGAGGGAAACAACCCAGACCGCCAGCUAAGGUCCCAAAGUCAUGGUUAAGUGGGAAACGAUGUGGGAAGGCCCAGACAGCCAGGAUGUUGGCUUAGAAGCAGCCAUCAUUUAAAGAAAGCGUAAUAGCUCACUGGUCGAGUCGGCCUGC
rnacentral:rRNA from 1 species